GGGGGUAUAGCUCAGUGAUAGGGCAUGUGCUUAGCAUGCACAAGGUCACAGAUUCAAUCCCCAGUAUCUCUA
rnacentral:tRNA from 1 species